AACAAUACUAACAUCCAAUACCACAAAUUUGGAGAAAUCAAUCUAAAACACACCAACAAAGAGGAAUUUGAAAAUUACUUUGGUGAUGAAAAAACUCAAACUUUGAGUGAUUCUCGUUCAAGCCACCAACAAUCUUCAACUUAGAGAACUGUAGCUUCCAGCAACCAUGAAGAAAGUUAGCACUUUUGGUUGAUAUUUUCGAUGAAUGAAAAAUGGGUUUGUGACAUUUUCGGGAGAGGAAUAAGAGGAAGUUUUUUGUUUAUGGUUUUUUAUGUAAUAGUAAAGAGGAUUUAUUGGCAAUAAAGUGAAUGGGUAGUGUUUUAAUGUGAG
rnacentral:lncRNA from 1 species